UAACAAGGUCUUCGUAGGUGAACCUGCGGAGGGAUCAUUACCGAGUUAGGGUCCUCACAGGGCCCGACCUCCCAACCCUUUGUUUAUGAUACCUAGUGUUGCUUCGGUAGGCCUGGUCUCCGACCUGCCGGGGGGCCGUGAAACGCCCCGCCGGAGAGCGCCUGCCGACAGCCCCAACCUUUAAAAUUCUUAACCAAACGUGUCUUGUCUGAGUAAACGUCUUUUAAAUAAAAGCAAAACUUUCAACAACGGAUCUCUUGGUUCUGGCAUCGAUGAAGAACGCAGCGAA
rnacentral:misc_RNA from 1 species